ACUCAUCUCAUAUGUAAGUCGCUCUGGAUAAGAGCGUCUGCUGAAUUGCAUAAA
rfam:Salmo salar isolate Sally breed double haploid chromosome ssa26, whole genome shotgun sequence.